UACGAAGGGGGCUAGCGUUGUUCGGAUUUACUGGGCGUAAAGCGCACGUAGGCGGAUUUUUAAGUCAGGGGUGAAAUCCCGGGGCUCAACCCCGGAACUGCCUUUGAUACUGGAAGUCUUGAGUAUGAUAGAGGUGAGUGGAAUUCCGAGUGUAGAGGUGAAAUUCGUAGAUAUUCGGAGGAACACCAGUGGCGAAGGCGGCUCACUGGACCAUUACUGACGCUGAGGUGCGAAAGCGUGGGGAGCAAACAGG
rnacentral:rRNA from 1 species